CAGGGUGUAGGGGAGCCCAGUCGUCCCCGCCUGCCUUGGAAGCAGGAGAACGUUGGUGCGAAUCCAACCACCCUGACCA
rnacentral:tRNA from 1 species